rnacentral:rRNA from 1 species
UACGUAGGGUGCAAGCGUUAAUCGGAAUUACUGGGCGUAAAGCGUGCGCAGGCGGUUUUGUAAGACUGUCGUGAAAUCCCCGGGCUUAACCUGGGAAUUGCGAUGGUGACUGCAAGGCUAGAGUUUGGCAGAGGGGGGUAGAAUUCCACGUGUAGCAGUGAAAUGCGUAGAGAUGUGGAGGAACACCGAUGGCGAAGGCAGCCCCCUGGGUCAAAACUGACGCUCAUGCACGAAAGCGUGGGGGGCAAACAGG